GCGGCCUUAGCGCGGUGGUCCCACCUGACCCCAUGCCGAACUCAGAAGUGAAACGCCGUAGCGCCGAUGGUAGUGUGGGGUCUCCCCAUGCGAGAGUAGGGAACUGCCA
rnacentral:rRNA from 2 species